GACUUCGUAGCUCAGUUGAUGGGGCACUUACUGCGUUUGAGCAUGCUUUUUCAGCUGCUGGUUCGAGUCCAGCUGAAGUUU